AUACAUGCAAGUCGAGCGCACCUUCGGGUGAGCGCCGGACGGGUGAGUAACGCGUGGGAACGUGCCCUUUGGUACGGGAUAACUGAGGGAAACUUCAGCUAAUACCGUAUGUGCCCUACGGGGGAAAGAUUUAUCGCCAUUGGAGCGGCCCGCGUUGGAUUAGGUAGUUGGUGGGGUAAAGGCCCACCAAGCCGACGAUCCAUAGCUGGUCUGAGAGGAUGAUCAGCCACACUGGGACUGAGACACGGCCCAGACUCCUACGGGAGGCAGCAGUAGGGAAUCUUGCGCAAUGGGCGAAAGCCUGACGCAGCCAUGCCGCGUGAAUGUUGAAGGUCUUAGGAUUGUAAAAUUCUUUCACCGGGGAAGAUAAUGACGGUACCCGGAGAAGAAGCCCCGGCUAACUUCGUGCCAGCAGCCGCGGUAAUACGAAGGGGGCUAGCGUUGCUCGGAAUUACUGGGCGUAAAGGGCGCGUAGGCGGAUGUUUAAGUCGGGGGUGAAAGCCCGGGGCUCAACCUCGGAAUUGCCUUCGAUACUGGACAUCUUGAGUACGGGAGAGGUGAGUGGAACUCCGAGUGUAGAGGUGAAAUUCGUAGAUAUUCGGAAGACACCAGUGGCGAAG
rnacentral:rRNA from 1 species